UGGGGAAUAUUGGACAAUGGGCGCAAGCCUGAUCCAGCCAUGCCGCGUGCAGGAAGAAGGCCUUCUGGGUUGUAAACUGCUUUUGCCGGGGGAUAAAAUUCCCAUGCGUGGGACAUUGAAGGUACCCGGUGAAUAAGCCACGGCUAACUACGUUCCAGCAGCCGCGGUAAUACGUAGGUGGCAAGCGUUGUCCGGAUUUAUUGGGUUUAAAGGGUGCGUAGGCGGCCUAUUAAGUCAGUGCUGAAAUAUCCCGGCUUAACCGGGAGGGUGGCAUUGAUACUGAUGGGCUUGAGUAGAGUCGAGGUAGGCGGAAUUGACGGUGUAGCGGUGAAAUGCUUAGAUAUCGUCAAGAACACCGAUAGUGUAGACAGCUUACUAGACUCAAACUGACGCUGAGGCACGAAAGUGUGGGGAUCAAA
rnacentral:rRNA from 1 species